rnacentral:lncRNA from 1 species
CUUGGUGUAGAUCCAUCCAAAUCCAUGGAUCUUAGAUGCAAGGAAUGAAGGCCCUAUCUCUUGGGUGAUUAACCUUUGUUUAAAUACAAAGAGGAAUCUACAAAGGUAUAUAUAUUUCAACUCACUUUGUUUUGAGUUGUUUAUUGGUUCACCAAUCUACUAGGCUUUGAAUUUCAUGGUUAAUGUUUUGUUUUUAAGUGCAUGCUAGCAUGAUUCCGCCUUUAAUUGUUAAUUGCAUGCUUAUAGUUGUUGCUUAAAUGAACAUGUUUUCACAAAAUAAUCCUUCAACGCUCACCUUGGAUCCAAGGUAGGUGCACAAUUCUAUCAUACAGACCACUUUAGGUGGUUCUGACUCAUGUGCAGGUAUACUUAUUGAGCUAUGGAUAAGUCGUACAGGUCAUUGGAAGUGACUCUGACUUAUAAGCUAGCAUAUAUGAUGAGAUGCUAACAUAUAUGAUGAGAUAUGCUAUGAGCUAACAUAUAUGAUGAGAUAUGUUAUUAGCUAACAUAUAUGAUGAGAUAUGUUAUGUGCUAGCAUAUAUGAUAAGAUAUGUUAUGAGUUAGCAUAUAUGAUGAGAUAUGUGAUGAGCUAGCAUAUAUGACGAGAUAUGUUAUGAACUAGCAUAUGUGAUGAGAUAUGGAUAAGUCGUACAGAUCAUUAGAGGUGACUCCGACUUAUGAGCUAGCCUUGAUUGAUGAGAUAUGGAUAAGUCAUACAGGUCACGUGAGGUGACUCCGGCUAGCAUGUGAUGAGAUAUUGAUUCAAGCGUACACGAUAGGUAGAUCCGGCUAACAUGCCAUUUCAUAUUGGUUUAUUUCACCUGGGUUACUUAUUCUUGUUGAGAUAUUGGACGUGGCAUAACUGUAAGACUAUUAUUUUGGUUAUGAUUUUGAUUUAUAGUCACGCCUGUUAUUUUCUGGGAAAUUAUACAGGUAUUACGGCGAGGGGCUACUACCUUUGGUGGUUGGAAUUGGUUUGAAAAGUUUUGUUUCACUCACUCACAUUUUCUAUUUUUGUACCCCUCCAGAUUCUAGCAGCAGAGUUCCGUAUCGACGAGGAUUCGUGGCACUUUUUAGCACGUAUGUCUUUU